AUUGAACGCUGGCGGCAGGCCUAACACAUGCACGUCGAGCGGAUGAAGGGAGCUUGCUCCUGGAUUCAGCGGCGGACGGGUGAGUAAUGCCUAGGAAUCUGCCUGGUAGUGGGGGAUAACGUCCGGAAACGGGCGCUAAUACCGCAUACGUCCUGAGGGAGAAAGUGGGUGAUCUUCGGACCUCACGCUAUCAGAUGAGCCUAGGUCGGAUUAGCUAGUUGGUGGGGUAAAGGCCUACCAAGGCGACGAUCCGUAACUGGUCUGAGAGGAUGAUCAGUCACACUGGAACUGAGACACGGUCCAGACUCCUACGGGAGGCAGCAGUGGGGAAUAUUGGACAAUGGGCGAAAGCCUGAUCCAGCCAUGCCGCGUGUGUGAAGAAGGUCUUCGGAUUGUAAAGCACUUUAAGUUGGGAGGAAGGGCAGUAAGUUAAUACCUUGCUGUUUUGACGUUACCAACAGAAUAAGCACCGGCUAACUUCGUG
rnacentral:rRNA from 1 species